GACGAACGCUGGCGGCGUGCUUAACACAUGCAAGUCGAACGGAAAGGCCCUGCUUUUGUGGGGUGCUCUAGUGGCGAACGGGUGAGUAACACGUGAGUAACCUGCCCUUGACUUUGGGAUAACUUCAGGAAACUGGGGCUAAUACCGGAUAGGAGCUCCUGCUGCAUGGUGGGGGUUGGAAAGUUUCGGCGGUUGGGGAUGGACUCGCGGCUUAUCAGCUUGUUGGUGGGGUAGUGGCUUACCAAGGCUUUGACGGGUAGCCGGCCUGAGAGGGUGACCGGCCACAUUGGGACUGAGAUACGGCCCAGACUCCUACGGGAGGCAGCAGUGGGGAAUAUUGCACAAUGGGCGGAAGCAUGAUGCAGCAACGCCGCGUGCGGGAUGACGGCCUUCGGGUUGUAAACCGCUUUCGCCUGUGACGAAGCGUGAGUGACGGUAAUGGGUAAAGAAGCACCGGCUAACUACGUG
rnacentral:rRNA from 1 species